CCUACGGGAGGCAGCAGUGGGGAAUAUUGGACAAUGGGCGAAAGCCUGAUCCAGCAAUGCCGCGUGAGUGAUGAAGGCCUUAGGGUUGUAAAGCUCUUUUACCAGGGAUGAUAAUGACAGUACCUGGAGAAUAAGCUCCGGCUAACUCCGUGCCAGCAGCCGCGGUAAUACGGAGGGAGCUAGCGUUGUUCGGAAUUACUGGGCGUAAAGCGUGCGUAGGCGGUGAUUCAAGUCAGAGGUGAAAGCCUGGAGCUCAACUCCAGAACGGCCUUUGAAACUAGAUCGCUAGAAUUAUGGAGAGGUAAGUGGAAUUCCGAGUGUAGAGGUGAAAUUCGUAGAUAUUCGGAAGAACACCAGUGGCGAAGGCGACUUACUGGACAUAUAUUGACGCUGAGGUACGAAAGCGUGGGGAGCAAACAGGAUUAGAUACCCUGGUAGUCCACGCCGUAAACGAUGAUAACUAGCUGUUCGGGCUCUCAGAGCUUGAGUGGCGCAGCUAACGCAUUAAGUUAUCCGCCUGGGGAGUACGGUCGCAAGAAUUAAAACUUAAAUUGAAAUUGACGG
rnacentral:rRNA from 1 species